UACGUAGGUGGCAAGCGUUAUCCGGAAUUAUUGGGCGUAAAGCGCGCGCAGGUGGUUUCUUAAGUCUGAUGUGAAAGCCCACGGCUCAACCGUGGAGGGUCAUUGGAAACUGGGAGACUUGAGUGCAGAAGAGGAAAGUGGAAUUCCAUGUGUAGCGGUGAAAUGCGUAGAGAUAUGGAGGGACACCAGUGGCGAAGGCGACUUUCUGGUCUGUAACUGACACUGAGGCGCGAAAGCGUGGGGAGCAGACAGG
rnacentral:rRNA from 1 species